UCGCCUCUUGCAACAAACGUAUAAGAGGUCCCGCCUGCCCUGUGACUUACUAGUUUAACGGCCGCGGUAUUUUGACCGUGCGAAGGUAGCGUAAUCACUUGUCUUUUAAAUGGAGACCUGUAUGAAUGGCACAACGAGGGCUAAGCUGUCUCCUUUUUCCAGUCAAUGAAAUUGAUCUUCCCGUGCAGAAGCGGGGAUGUAAACAUAAGACGAGAAGACCCUAUGGAGCUUAAGACACAAGGUAGUCCAUGUAAAACACCUGAAUCAAACAGAACUAACCAAAUGGUUCCUACCCUUUUGUCUUUGGUUGGGGCGACCGCGGGGAAACAAAAAUCCCCCACGUGGAAUGGGGCUCUCCCCCUUAAAGCCAGAGCCACAGCUCUAGCUAACAGAAUAUCUGACCUACAAGAUCCGGCAAAGCCGAUCAACGGACCGAGUUACCCUAGGGAUAACAGCGCAAUCCCCUUUUAGAGCCCAUAUCGACAAGGGGGUUUACGACCUCGAUGUUGGAUCAGGACAUCCUAAUGGUGCAGCCGCUAUUAAGGGUUCGUUUGUUCAACGAUUAAAGUCCUACG
rnacentral:rRNA from 1 species